rnacentral:rRNA from 1 species
GCUUGUCUCAAAGAUUAAGCCAUGCACGUCUAAGUAUAAAUUUUAUAUUGUGAAACUGCGAUUGGCUCAUUAUAUCAGUUAUAGUUUAUUUGAUAAUCCCUUACUACUUGGAUAACCGUAGUAAUUCUAGAGCUAAUACAUGCAUCGAUACCCUUCUCGGGUAUAUAUUUGAUUGAAACCAACCCCUUUCGGGUGAUGUGGUGAUUCAUAAUAAGUUUACGAAUCGCAAGACUUUGUCGGCGAUGGAUCAUUCAAGUUUCUGCCCUAUCAGCUUUGGAUGGUAGGGUAUUGUACUACCGUGGUUUUAACUGGUAACAGAGGACUAGGGUUUGAUUCUGGAGAGGGAGCCUGAGAGACGGCUACCAUAUCCAAGGAAGGCAGCAGG